GUCGCGUGUUGCCCGCCGUUGUGCGCGCUCACUCUUCGCCUCAGGGCUCACGCGCUCACAGACCAUCAUUCGUUUACUCCCCCCCCCCACCUGUUCUCGCGCGCGUUCGUGCACGUCAGUCGAAGCCCUGUCCCCUCCGUCGUCUGGCUGUUGUCUCGCCUGCCGAAGUCACGCUGUGCUUUGGGAGCAUGGAAGGUCGACUGGUUAUUAGGACAAUCCAACAGAGGAAAAGCUGUCAGAUGAAAUAACCCUAUCAUGUGCAAACUUCAAGAUCCACCUUUAAAUUGAUGGAGAGGUGCUGGUGUUGGACUGGGGUGGACAAAAUUAAAAAUCUCACAACGCCAAGCUUGUACUUUUAAAUAAACCUAUUGAACUAUAA